AUGAACGCUAGCGGCAGGGCUUAACACAUGCAAGUCGAGGGGCAGCAUAAUGGAUAGCAAUAUCUAUGGUGGCGACCGGCGCACGGGUGCGUAACGCGUAUGCAACCUACCUUUAACAGGGGGAUAACACUGAGAAAUUGGUACUAAUACCCCAUAAUAUCAUAGAAGGCAUCUUUUAUGGUUGAAAAUUCCGAUGGUUAGAGAUGGGCAUGCGUUGUAUUAGCUAGUUGGUGGGGUAACGGCUCACCAAGGCGACGAUACAUAGGGGGACUGAGAGGUUAACCCCCCACACUGGUACUGAGACACGGACCAGACUCCUACGGGAGGCAGCAGUGAGGAAUAUUGGUCAAUGGACGCAAGUCUGAACCAGCCAUGCCGCGUGCAGGAUGACGGCUCUAUGAGUUGUAAACUGCUUUUGUACUAGGGUAAACUCACCUACGUGUAGGUGACUGAAAGUAUAGUACGAAUAAGGAUCGGCUAACUCCGUG
rnacentral:rRNA from 1 species